CACGGGGGGAGCAAGCGUUGUUCGGAAUCACUGGGCGUAAAGGGCGUCUAGGCGGUCAGGUAAGUGGGAUGUGAAAUGCCCCGGCUCACCCGGGGACCGGCAUCCCAUACUGCUUGGCUUGAGUACGGGAGAGGAUGUGGGAAUUCCUGGUGUAGCGGUGAAAUGCGUAGAUAUCAGGAGGAACACCGGUGGCGGAGGCGCACAUCUGGCCCGAUACUGACGCUGAAGCGCGAAAGCUAGGGGAGCAAACGGG
rnacentral:rRNA from 1 species